rnacentral:rRNA from 1 species
CCUACGGGCGGCAGCAGUGAGGAAUAUUGGUCAAUGGGCGAGAGCCUGAACCAGCCAAGUCGCGUGAGGGAGUACUGCCCUAUGGGUUGUAAACCUCUUUUGUCGGGGAGCAAAAGCCGGACGUGUCCGGCUGUGAGAGUACCCAAAGAAAAAGCAUCGGCUAACUCCGUGCCAGCAGCCGCGGUAAUACGGAGGAUGCGAGCGUUAUCCGGAUUUAUUGGGUUUAAAGGGUGCGCAGGCGGAUUUUUAAGUCAGCGGUAAAAUCGUGGGGCUCAACCCCAUCCAGCCGUUGAAACUGGGGAUCUAGAGUGUGCGAGAGGUAUGCGGAAUGCGUGGUGUAGCGGUGAAAUGCAUAGAUAUCACGCAGAACCCCGAUUGCGAAGGCAGCAUACCGGUGCACAACUGACGCUCAGGCACGAAAGCGUGGGUAUCGAACAGGAUUAGAUACCCGAGUAGUC